rnacentral:lncRNA from 1 species
AAAGAUGGCACUGAGCAUUUGUGAAAUGAAUGUUCGUCAUUGCUUGCUGAAUGUCUGACAGAGCUGGAGGAAGGAAGAACUGAAAUCUGAUACCUGAUCCUAGGCCCAUUUCUCUAGACCUGUUUCUCUGCCCUUGUUUCGAAGGUGCUGGUGCUGUCUCUGCGGUCAGGUAGCUGUGCGGUGGUUAUGCAGCGUCUCGCCGCRUUCUGCAGUAGCUGCCGUGUCUGC